AGAAGUACUCAGCUGGAGGCCCCGGGUCUGGGAGGAGAGGUCAGGUGGACUGUCAGAGGAAAGCAUGUAGGAUACAGUCCCUGGAGGUCCAGGAUUUGGGGGCCUCCGAGGUUCUUGACAGCUGUGACCCUUUGGGCUGGGAUGAUCCUGACAGAACAUCAGGUUCCCCAGCUCUGUCCCCUCUACAGUCUCUCCAGAAGAAGGGUCUGGGGGAAUCCGCCUUGCCCUGACUUCCCAUAAUAUUCAAACCAGAGUUCUUCGCAGUUCCUGGAGAGACCUACUCCCCCUACCCCAGAACAUGGGGCUCAAGCAAUCAAGACCUCGUCAUCUCCCAGAGGCCCUGGUCAAUGGUCCAAGGAGGAACAGAGCCUCACAAGUGACUGUCCUUCCCAGUGAGCUGCCAAGGUGACAAGCCCUGGUCACAUCCACGCUGCAGAUUGCCUCCGAAGCGUUUCCCGGUGAUUCUGUAAAGAUCCAGGUCUCGACUCUGCUGCAAAAUGAAUGAACUGCUCAUCUCACCGGCUCGGAGCGCACCCGGGCCAAACUUCUCGCUUGGCUUUUAUGGGGCUAAUACAUCUGCAGACCGAAUGUAUUAUUUCGGAAAACUUUCUUUCCCCUUUCUCCCCUCCCCUGCCCUUGCCCAGAAAAACUUAUUCCUUUGGCGGAAAUGGUUUCAUCAACGUCUUUAAAAAACCA
rnacentral:lncRNA from 1 species